rnacentral:rRNA from 1 species
ACCAGACUCCUACGGGAGGCAGCAGUGGGGGAUAUUGCACAAUGGGGGGAACCCUGAUGCAGCGACGCCGCGUGGGUGAAGAAGCGCCUCGGCGCGUAAAGCCCUGUCAGCAGGGAAGAAAAUGACGGUACCUGAAGAAGAAGCCCCGGCUAACUACGUGCCAGCAGCCGCGGUAAUACGUAGGGGGCAAGCGUUAUCCGGAUUUACUGGGUGUAAAGGGGGCGCAGGCGGCGAUGCAAGCCAGGAGUGAAAGCCCGGGGCCCAACCCCGGGACUGCUCUUGGAACUGCGUGGCUGGAGUGCAGGAGGGGCAGGCGGAAUUCCUGGUGUAGCGGUGAAAUGCGUAGAUAUCAGGAGGAACACCGGUGGCGAAGGCGGCCUGCUGGACUGCAACUGACGUUGAGGCCCGAAAGCGUGGGGAGCAAACAGGAUUAGAUACCCCCGUAC